rnacentral:rRNA from 1 species
AACGCGAAGAACCUUACCUACCCUUGACAUGCCAGGAAGCCGGGUGAGAGCUCGGUGUGCCCGAAAGGGAGCCUGGACACAGGUGCUGCAUGGCUGUCGUCAGCUCGUGUCGUGAGAUGUUGGGUUAAGUCCCGCAACGAGCGCAACCCUUGUCGUUAGUUGCUACGGUAACGGGCACUCUAGUGAGACUGCCGGUGACAAACCGGAGGAAGGUGGGGAUGACGUCAAGUCCUCAUGGCCCUUAUGGGUAGGGCCUCACACGUCAUACAAUGGCGCAUACAGAGGGCUGCCAACCCGCGAGGGGGAGCCAAUCCCAGAAAGUGCGUCGUAGUCCGGAUUGCAGUCUGCAACUCGACUGCAUGAAGUCGGAAUCGCUAGUAAUCGCGGAUCAGCAAUGUCGCGGUGAAUACGUUCCCGGGUCUUGUACACACCG